GAUAUGUGGAGGGCGUGCGGAGGUUUUCACAGGGAGCCUGGAAUCAGAAGAGGGGGGAAAAAACAGAUGGAGCGACAAGCAAGAAAGGCUGUUUGAUAUGAAGAAGUUCAUCUUUGUGGAGAGGUGUGAAUUGUUUUCACAGCAGGGGCUUCUCACUCCUCCCCUUUCGCUCCUCAUUGCUCACUAGCUGCUCAACUCAGAGGCACCAUAUUUAACACAUGGAGAGCCAAGAAUUUCUCAGUCUCAGUCUACCUGGACGAUAAAGCUUGAUUCUGAAUCGGAUUCUGAUAUUUUCAGUUGCCCAUUGCCUUGCAAAGUGGCUCAGGAGGGAAAACUGAAUGUCCUGGAGAGUACUGACUCACAACAGCAGAAGAGACUGGCGUCCUCUGUGUUCAUGUCUUGUACAGCACUCAUGUGUUGAUUGGACAAUGGGAAACAAAUGCAACAUUAGCAGCUCAUUCUAAAGGUAAACGACCCAAACCAAACCAUUUAACUUUCCUAGAUAAUAGCACUACCUGGAGAUUGAAGGGAUGUUCUUACCUCGUAAAGAUAGUCAAAGAGCUCCAAAAUGGUCAGAAUGCUGGCUCCAAUGAAAAGACCCAUUUGGCCACCAAUGUCACCUGAAAGAACAAGAAUGUAACAUGUACACAGUCCAUUUUGCCAAUUUCCUUGAUAAUGUCACAUACUAUCAAAUGUACAUUUACAAAGGUACAGUGCAAAGUUUAAUGUGCUCAAUUCUGUUUUUGUGCUUUUAAAUAUGGCUGACCUGAUAAGAUGUAUGUGAAAUCUUCAUGUAUCUACACUUUAAAAAUGAUCACCUAAUAAGACUUACAAACCAGACAAGGCCAUAAUGGAUUCUAUAAGUUUACUUGUUAUCAUAACUGGUCAUAAUUUAACCCUCAGCAGUCGCAGUUUUCACUUAUUUGGGUGACACUUUAUUUUGAUUGGUCCUUUUAGGAUUAGGUUUUGGGUUGAGGUUAGGGUUAGUGUUGAGAUUAGCCCCAGGGUUAAGGUUAGGUUUUGCAUAAUGGAAGUAACAUAAUAACAACAUCUACUCCAAUAUCUACUUCAUGCAAGUAAUUCAUCAACAAUAUAUUUACCUCAAUGUAUUUAGAUGCUUCACAACUGCUGCUUCACUGAUAUGUUGCUAUGUGUUACUGAUACUCAGUUAAGAAUUUAUUAAUUAUCUACAAAGAACCACCCCUAAUAAAGUGUUACCCCUUUUGUUAUCAUUCAGUAUUAAAAUAAUGAUUGAAAUUUUAGUGUUCGAUUUUUGCUUCUUCAGUUUGUGACUGACAAAGCUAAUCUUGCUAACAUUAGAGGUUAGAGAAUAGUCACCUAAAUCUUUUCUAUAACCCCUUUAAAAUCCCGGUCUUAUUACUUAACAUACAUUCCAUAAGGCUUAUUAUUCAGUAUCUCCAGGGACUUCAAUGCAAACUGGCUGGUCUUAAUUUAUGGGUGUGUGUAAUAAAACAUUGGGCUGCCAAAAGUUCUCAAGCCACUCAAACUGCAUUCAGGUCUUCAGCGAAGUUGCACAGACUUGUCAGUGUGGUUUAGGACUUACAUGUUUUAAAGAUGCAAUUCUAGAAAAGAUCAGUGUUUCUUAGCAACGUUAGUGUUGAAGAUGCAAACUCUGGACACCAAACAUGCCUCGGUUGUUUGACUGCACCUAGGUUAGAUGGGUGAAUGUGGAUCUGAUUUUUCAUCAAACUUUUCCUUCAGUUGUUUUACCGAAUCAUUUCUUUUUAUUAUUAUUACAAGCAUGACAGUUGAAACUUUCAACCCACAUCACAUCUGUGCUUGCAAGCAGAAGAUAUUUUAUUAUGAUUUUAAUUUUCAGAAUGUUACUGAUGUGUUUGUUUUUCUUUCUGCAAAACAAUUCUUUACACUUUUGACAUUCUUCAUAUAUUUU